rnacentral:lncRNA from 1 species
AUUACCCGAUAUGCACUUUGCAAUUUGAAUUUUGACAAGGAUGAGAGACGUUCCAGUUUUGUAUACGAAGGCGGAGAAAAGAUAUCUUAUUAAUGUCACGUUGAUUUCAAUAUUUUCACUUAUUUCGGCAUUGAAAAUAUUGGGUAA